CGGGUGAGUAAUGCUUGGGAAUCUAGUUUAUGGAGGGGGAUAACUACGGGAAACUGUAGCUAAUACCGCGUAGAAUCGGGAGAUGAAAGUGUGGGACCUUCGGGCCACAUGCCAUAGGAUGAGCCCAAGUGGGAUUAGGUAGUUGGUGAGGUAAAGGCUCACCAAGCCGACGAUCUCUAGCUGGUCUGAGAGGAUGACCAGCCACACUGGGACUGAGACACGGCCCAG
rnacentral:rRNA from 1 species